rnacentral:rRNA from 1 species
UACGUAGGUACCGAGCGUUAUCCGGAUUUACUGGGCGUAAAGCGCGUUCAGGCGGUUUGGCAAGUCGGGCAUGAAAUCUCUCGGCUCAACCGGGAGAGGUUGUCCGAUACUGCUGGACUGGAGGGCGGUAGAGGGUGGUGGAAUUCCGGGUGUAGUGGUGAAAUGCGUAGAGAUCCGGAGGAACACCAGUGGCGAAAGCGGCCACCUGGACUGCACCUGACGCUGAAACGCGAAAGCUAGGGGAGCGAACGGG